rnacentral:misc_RNA from 1 species
GAGAACCUUAAUUAAUGAAAAGAAAAUGUCAAACUAGACAAGCAAUCACAGCUCGAUCGGUACUACAUGUGACUCACGAGCAAGCUAUCUACCUAACAGCACCAGCAAUGCAAAUUAAGUUACUAGCAUCCAAACAAGAGAACCCUACCCUAAGAUAACAGAGAUUGAAACAAGAAGCAAGCUCAUGAGGACCAAGAAAGAGAAAGAAAUUGAAUAUGCUCCUCCUUUGGAUGGGGCUGGAGCUGGGACAAGUCCAUUACUCUCUUCUGAUGGUGGAAGCUCUGGUGAUGAUGAGUCUGGAGGGCCAACUGGUUCUCCAGCUGAAGGAGGCAAAGAGAUGUGACAGUCACUAAUGGGAGGAGCAUGAACCCCACAAUCCGAAGGCAAAAGAGCGGCCCUUGUCAUAUUCACCACGAUCCCCAGUUGAGCACUACUCUUGAGACCUUCACAUAUGCACUUGGGAUUGAUAGCAAUAACAGUUUUCAACCCUUCACAGCACAACGGAUCCAGCUUAUCAUUACUGCCUACGCUCAAAUAGGGCACACAGUCUAUCAUAUCAUAUAUAACAGUGGUACAAUCAUCCUCUGUGGAUGGUGCAGGCGGAAGAAGUGACAAAGGCGAUGGUGCUUUUGCUGUAAUGCGGGAACAGUUGACUACCAUGGCCAGUGUGGCCAAAAUGGAAACUAGAAAAAGAAAUUUCAUAGUUAAAAGAAAUGCAGAGGAGCUAGCUUGUGAAGGUGAAGGUGGUGUUCUUGUUCUGGGUUUAC